rnacentral:rRNA from 1 species
UACAGAGGGUGCAAGCGUUGCUCGGAAUCAUUGGGCGUAAAGGGCAGGUAGGUGGUCUGAUUUGUCUGGCGGUGAAAUCCUUGAGCUUAACUCAAGAAGUGCCCCGGAAACGGUCAGACUUAUGAGUCUUGGAGAGGGUUGCGGAAUUCCCGGUGUAGCGGUGAAAUGCGUAGAGAUCGGGAGGAACACCAGAGGCGAAGGCGGCAACCUGGACAAGCACUGACACUCAACUGCGAAAGCGUGGGGAGCAAACAGG